AUACAGAGGGUGCAAGCGUUAAUCGGAAUUACUGGGCGUAAAGCGCGCGUAGGCGGUUUAAUCAGUCGGAUGUGAAAGCCCCGGGCUCAACCUGGGAACUGCAUUCGAUACUGUUAAGCCAGAGUAUGUUAGAGGGAAGUGGAAUUCCAGGUGUAGCGGUGAAAUGCGUAGAUAUCUGGAGGAACAUCAGUGGCGAAGGCGACUUCCUGGACCAAUACUGACGCUGAGGUGCGAAAGCGUGGGGAGCAAACAGAAUUAGAAACCCUAGUAGUCC
rnacentral:rRNA from 1 species